UGGGGAAUUUUGGACAAUGGGCGAAAGCCUGAUCCAGCAAUGCCGCGUGUGUGAAGAAGGCCUUCGGGUUGUAAAGCACUUUUGUCCGGAAAGAAAUCCUUGGCUCUAAUACAGUCGGGGGAUGACGGUACCGGAAGAAUAAGCACCGGCUAACUACGUGCCAGCAGCCGCGGUAAUACGUAGGGUGCAAGCGUUAAUCGGAAUUACUGGGCGUAAAGCGUGCGCAGGCGGUUUGCUAAGACCGAUGUGAAAUCCCCGGGCUCAACCUGGGAACUGCAUUGGUGACUGGCAGGCUAGAGUAUGGCAGAGGGGGGUAGAAUUCCACGUGUAGCAGUGAAAUGCGUAGAGAUGUGGAGGAAUACCGAUGGCGAAGGCAGCCCCCUGGGCAAAUACUGACGCUCAUGCACGAAAGCGUGGGGAGCAAACAGGAUUAGAUACCCUGGUAGUCCACGCCCUAAACGAUGUCAACUAGUUGUUGGGGAUUCAUUUCCUUAGUAACGUAGCUAACGCGUGAAGUUGACCGCCUGGGGAGUACGGUCGCAAGAUUAAAACUCAAAUGAAUUGACGGGGUCAUAGCUGUUUCCU
rnacentral:rRNA from 1 species